UACGUAGGGGGCAAGCGUUGUCCGGAAUCAUUGGGCGUAAAGGGUGCGUAGGUGGCGCCGUAAGUGGGGUGUGAAAUCUCGGGGCUUAACUCCGAAACUGCAUUCCAUACUGCGGUGCUCGAGGACUGGAGAGGAGACUGGAAUUCAUGGUGUAGCAGUGAAAUGCGUAGAGAUCAGGAGGAACACCGGCGGCGAAGGCGGCUUCCUGGCCCAUUACUGACGUUCAGGUACGAAAGCGUGGGUAGCAAACAGG
rnacentral:rRNA from 1 species